rnacentral:rRNA from 1 species
GUCAAUGUCGUGGCAGUAGCCGCGGUAAGAAGGACCGGGGGAACGUUGGUUGGAAGCCGUGGGCUUAAAGGGGUGUUGGGGGGCUUGUCAAGUCCGGGGGGAAAGCCCCCAGCUCAACUGGGGAAGGGCCUUGGAUACUGAUGGGCUCGAGGGAGGUAGGGGCCCGCGGAACUUCUGGUGGAGCGGUGAAAUGCGUUGAUAUCAGAAGGAACGCCGGUGGCGAAAGCGGCGGGCUGGAUCUCUACUGACGCUGAGGCGCGAAAGCCAGGGGAGCAAACGGGAUUAGAUACCCGAGUAGUC